UACGUAGGUGGCGAGCGUUGUCCGGAUUUACUGGGCGUAAAGGGCGCGUAGGCGGCCAUGCGUGUCUUUCGUGAAAUCCCUCGGCUUAACUGAGGACGUGCGGAAGAAACUGCAAGGCUUGAGUCCGGGAGAGGGGGGUGGAAUUCCCAGUGUAGCGGUGAAAUGCGUAGAUAUUGGGAGGAACACCGGUGGCGAAGGCGGCCCCCUGGACCGGUACUGACGCUGAGGCGCGAAAGCGUGGGUAGCAAACGGG
rnacentral:rRNA from 1 species